rnacentral:rRNA from 1 species
GUUAAAAAGCUCGUAGUUGGAUUUCUGUUGAAGUCAGCCGGUGCACACUUCGUGUGUUAUUUGGCCUGGCUUUGGCAUCCUCUGGGGGAACGUUUCUGGCCUUAAUUGGACAGGGCGAGAUUCCAGACUUUUACUUUGAGGAAAUUAGAGUGUUCACAGCAGGCAAGUGCUUUGAAUACAUUAGCAUGGAAUAAUAAUAUAGGACCUUCGUUCUAUUUUGUUGGUUUCUAGGACCUAGGUAAUGAUUAAUAGGGACAAUUGGGGGCAUUCGUAUUAACGCGUCAGAGGUGGAAUUCUUGGAUUGCGUUACGACGAACUACUGCGAAAGCAUUUGCCAAAGAUGUUUUCAUUGAUCAAGAACGAAAGUAUGGGGAUCGAAGACGCUUAGAUACCGUCGUAGUCUAUACCAUAAACUAUGCCAACUAGGGAUGUGACGGGUACUCUUUUAUGGCUCGUUGCGCACCUUAUGAGAAAUCAAAGUUUUUGGGUUCCGGGGGGAGUAUUGUCGCAAGGCCGAAACUUAAAGGAAUUGACGGAAGGGCACCACCAGGAGUGGAGCCUGCGGCUUAAUUUGACU